rnacentral:rRNA from 1 species
CACGUAGUUAGCCGUGGCUUCCUCCUCAGGUACCGUCAUUAUCGUCCCUGAAGACAGAGCUUUACAACCCGAAGGCCGUCAUCACUCACGCGGCGUUGCUGCAUCAGGGUUUCCCCCAUUGUGCAAUAUUCCCCACUGCUGCCCCCCGUAGGAGUCUGGGCCGUGUCUCAGUCCCAAUGUGGCCGAUCACCCUCUCAGGUCGGCUACGCAUCGUCGCCUUGGUGAGCCCGUUACCUCACCAACUAGCUAAUGCGCCGCGGGCCCAUCUCAUAGCGGAUUGCUCCUUUAAUUGCUACUUCAUGCGAAGCUACAAUCUUAUGCGGUAUUAAUCUCCCUUUCGGAAGGCUAUUCCCCUCUAUGAGGCAGGUUGCCCACGUGUUACUCACCCGUCCGCCGCUAGCUUUGUUCCGAAGAACUCCACUCGCUCGACUUGCAUGUGUAGGCACGCCGCCAGCGUCGUCUCGUAGCGACGACGUACAACUACUACUCGUAGAACCG